GGACAGAUCGGCGUUCACGGAGCCAGCCGUAGCCAUGGAUAGGAGAUAUAAACAAGGCUGGAAAUCAGUGUUCCUGCUCCGAAUUCAAGAUUUUUGCUUCAUGUCAUUAAACUAAACCAUGAGCAGGGUGGCAAAAAGGAAGGAGCCUCGUCUCCUUUGGCAGCGGAGCGAAAAAGUGACCGGAUUAUUCCAGCGCCACUGGUGGCGCUAGUGUUCUAUCUCUCAGUUUGCUUGACCGACCCUCAAUAUUCGACUGGGGUGGAUGCCGGCAGUUAGAUGGUUUGGUACCAAAACGAUUUGAUACAAAAAAUUUGUUGGAACUUGAUAAUCCCACGCGGUCAUCACGAUGCUUAACAGAGAACAGAGAA